GACGAACGCUGGCGGCGUGCUUAACACAUGCAAGUCGAACGGAAAGGCCCUGCUUUUGUUGGGUGCUCGAGUGGCGAACGGGUGAGUAACACGUGAGUAACCUGCCCUUGACUUUGGGAUAACUCCAGGAAACUGGGGCUAAUACCGGAUAGGAGCUCCUGCUGCAUGGUGGGGGUUGGAAAGUUUCGGCGGUGGGGGAUGGACUCGCGGCUUACCAGCUUGUUGGUGGGGUAGUGGCUUACCAAGGCUUUGACGGGUAGCCGGCCUGGGAGGUGGACCGGGCACCAGGCGACUAAGGGAGGGACCAGACUGCUACGGGAGGCAAUAGUGGGGAAUAUUGCACAGUGAGCCGGAGCCCGAGGCAGCAACCCCCGGUGCGGGAAGACCGCCUGUGGGGGGUGAACCGCUUUCGGCUGAGACCAAGCGGGGGUGACGGUAAUGGGUAAAGAAGCACCGGCUAACUACGUG
rnacentral:rRNA from 1 species